GAUGAACGCUGGCGGCGUGCCUAAUACAUGCAAGUCGAGCGAACAGACGAGGAGCUUGCUCCUCUGACGUUAGCGGCGGACGGGUGAGUAACACGUGGAUAACCUACCUAUAAGACUGGGAUAACUUCGGGAAACCGGAGCUAAUACCGGAUAAUAUAUUGAACCGCAUGGUUCAAUAGUGAAAGACGGUUUUGCUGUCACUUAUAGAUGGAUCCGCGCCGCAUUAGCUAGUUGGUAAGGUAACGGCUUACCAAGGCAACGAUGCGUAGCCGACCUGGGAGGGUGAUCGGCCCCACUGGAACGGGGACACGGUCCAGACUCCUACGGGAGGCAGCAGUAGGGAAUCUGCCGCAGUGGGCGCAAGCCUGACGGAGCAACGCGGCGUGAGUGAUGAAGGUGUUCGGAUCGUAAAACUCUGUUAUUAGGGAAGAACAAAUGUGUAAGUAACUAUGCACGUCUUGACGGUACCUAAUCAGAAAGCCACGGCUAACUACGUG
rnacentral:rRNA from 1 species